CCUACGCGGGGCAGCAGUGAGGAAUAUUGGUCAAUGGGAGGAAUCCUGAACCAGCCAUGCCGCGUGCAGGACGACGGCUCUACGAGUUGUAAACUGCUUUUGUACCGGGGUAAAAUGCCUUACGUGUAGGGUUUUGAAAGUACGGUACGAAAAAGCAUCGGCUAACUCCGUGCCAGCAGCCGCGGUAAUACGGAGGAUGCGAGCGUUAUCCGGAUUUAUUGGGUUUAAAGGGUGUGCAGGCGGUCUGUUCAGUCAGCGGUCAAAGCCCGGGGCUCAACCCCGGCCCGCCGUUGAAACUGGCAGUCUUGAGUUGGAGAGAGGUAUGCGGAAUGCGCGGUGUAGCGGUGAAAGGCAUAGAUAUCGCGCAGAACUCCGAUUGCGAAGGCAGCAUGCCGGCUCCACACUGACGCUGAGGCACGAAAGCGUGGGUAUCGAACAGGAUUAGAUACCCGAGUAGUC
rnacentral:rRNA from 1 species